rnacentral:rRNA from 1 species
GACGAACGCUGGCGGCACGCCUAACACAUGCAAGUCGAACGCCCCUUUCGGGGGGAGUGGCGGACGGGUGAGUAACGCGUGGGAACCUGCCCCGUGGUGGGGGACAACCCAGGGAAACCUGGGCUGAUACCGCAUAAGCCCAGUGGCUGUAGUGGCCAUUGGGGAAAGAUUUAUCGCCACGGGAUGGGCCCGCGUCGGAUUAGGUAGUUGGUGGGGUAACGGCCCACCAAGCCUGCGAUCCGUAGCUGGUCUGAGAGGACGAUCAGCCACACUGGGACUGAGACACGGCCCAGACUCCUACGGGAGGCAGCAGUGGGGAAUCUUGGACAAUGGGGGAAACCCUGAUCCAGCGAUGCCGCGUGAGCGAAGAAGGCCUUAGGGUUGUAAAGCUCUUUCGCCCGCGACGAUAAUGACGGUAGCGGGAGAAGAAGCCCCGGCUAACUCCGUGCCAGCCGCCGCCGU